UUUUGGCCCCAGUCCUGAGGGUUGUGUGUGUUAGGGGACCCACCUCACGUUCGCCGAGGAGUUCCUGCAUAUUCUUGCACCAUCCCGGGUGCUGUUGCUGGGGCUCUCUUUAUUUGCACGCGCGCUUCUAGCUUUUUUCCUGACAUUUUCCACUCUACGCUCGUUCUUUCUCCCUUGCAUUUUGUUGCUUGCCUGAGACUCUUUGCUCUCGCCCUUGCCCAGGCUGGGGUAAUUCUGUGUGCGCGCGUGUCUCCCCCGCACCAACCUUUUUUGCACACUCGAAGCUGAAUAUUUUCUUUUUUAGAGAAUUUACCCGCACCUCCUGCGGGGUUCCUAAGCACUCUCUCUGCUCCCCUCCCCCCAACUCCCUACCACAGGGCCGCUCCCAGUAGU
rnacentral:lncRNA from 1 species